UUCGCCCUUAGAGUUUGAUCCUGGCUCAGAGCGAACGCUGGCGGCAGGCCUAACACAUGCAAGUCGAACGGGCUUCUUCGGAAGUCAGUGGCAGACGGGUGAGUAACACGUGGGAACGUGCCCUUCGGUUCGGAAUAACUCAGGGAAACUUGAGCUAAUACCGGAUACGCCCUUAUGGGGAAAGGUUUACUGCCGAAGGAUCGGCCCGCGUCUGAUUAGCUUGUUGGUGGGGUAACGGCCUACCAAGGCGACGAUCAGUAGCUGGUCUGAGAGGAUGAUCAGCCACACUGGGACUGAGACACGGCCCAGACUCCUACGGGAGGCAGCAGAAGGG
rnacentral:rRNA from 1 species